rnacentral:rRNA from 1 species
GACGAACGCUGGCGGCGUGCCUAAUACAUGCAAGUCGAGCGAAGCGGCGGAUGGGUGAGAAACGCGUGGGUAACCUGCCCUUAAGUUUGGGAUAACAUAUGGAAACAGAUGCUAAUACCGGAUACUAAAGGAUGGGCUGGCGAUGCAUUAGCUAGUUGGUAAGGUAACGGCUUACUAAGGCGAUGAUGCAUAGCCGAGUUGAGAGACUGAUCGGCCACAUUGGGACUGAGACACGGCCCAAACUCCUACGGGAGGCAGCAGUAGGGAAUCUUCCACAAUGGACGAAAGUCUGAUGGAGCAACGCCGCGUGAGUGAAGAAGGUUUUCGGAUCGUAAAGCUCUGUUGUUGGUGAAGCGGUAAUCAACCAGAAAGUCACGGCUAACUACGUGCCAGCAGCCGCGGUAAUUC